rnacentral:rRNA from 1 species
GACGAACGCUGGCGGCGUGCUUAACACAUGCAAGUCGAACGGUAAGGCCCUUCGGGGUACACGAGUGGCGAACGGGUGAGUAACACGUGGGUGAUCUGCCCUGCACUUCGGGAUAAGCCUGGGAAACUGGGUCUAAUGCCGGAUAGGACCACUGCCUGCAUGGGUGGUGGUGGAAAGCUUUUGCGGUGUGGGAUGGGCCCGCGGCCUAUCAGCUUGUUGGUGGGGUGAUGGCCUACCAAGGCGACGACGGGGAGCCGGCCUGAGAGGGUGACCGGCCACACUGGAGAGGGGAUACGGCCCAGAGUCCUACGGGAGGCAGGAGUGGGGAAUAGUGCACAAUGGGCGCAAGCCUGAUGCAGCGACGCCGCGUGAGGGAUGACGGCCUUCGGGUUGUAAACCUCUUUCAGCACCGACGAAGCGCAAGUGACGGUAGGUGCAGAAGAAGGACCGGCCAACUACGUGCCAGCAGCCGCCGUAA